AUGUAAGAUGGGAUGGAAUAAAGGCAUGAUGUCAGGCAAGCUGAUGGGACCUUCCAGCCGAGGCGUGAGCCUGUGGAAUUGAAACUGAGCUAGUCUUUCCUAGGAUGACGGGGUCAACAUGAAGUUUCUUCUGCUGCUGUGGCAAGCCUUUCUGCUACAUCCCCACUCCGCCACCGCCCCCUGUUUCUCUACCUUGGCUGCAAACAGAAGAGCUGUUUCAGUUCCCCAGCCACAAGAAGAUCGAGCCGUGGGGGAUACUCCCUGAGAAGAUUACUGAGAUGGGAGAUGGAAAAUUAGAGUCGACGGACGCAGGGACAAAGAAACACUGGCGAUAAGGAUGCUCAAGAUGUAAACUCUCACCUCUCAACUGUUCUUCUGCCUGCUGCCCCAAUUCCCAGCCAGGAUGGACUCAGCCCUCUGGGGCCAUAAGCCCAAAUAAACCCUUUCUUCUGUAA